rnacentral:snoRNA from 1 species
GUGAAGCCAGUUAAGCCGACCAGCUUCCUUUACCAUGGGACCUGGUGUGCAAUGGCUACAAACAGCACCCUCCUCGGUAGUGUAUGCAGCCUGCUGUUUGUGUGGUUUGCUCUAAGGGACCUUGGAGACAGCU